CUUUGUAAUUUACGUUGUAUGUGUUCUUAUAAAUUGGUUAGGAUUUUCUGAAAUUAACUUUAAGAACACUACAAAUUCAUUAGAACUACGCUUUGGAAUAGACAUUUUGCUGUCACCUGAUCGUUUUUUUGGGGGGAGGGUAGGUCCAUGCAGCAAGUAAAAUGGCAUUUUCUAUGAAGCCCGGAGUACUAUUUUUAAUCAUUUGUAGUCCAAGCUUGGACUAAAAAAAAGAUAAAUGCUUAUCUGAGAAAAGUGUGAAAGAAUUUGUAACUGUAAUUGUAGUGGAUACGAUAACAUUUCUUGGGGUACAGGAUUUUCGUGUUCCAAGCAAAAAGCAAGGGGAAUACCUUAAGAUAAGUUUGACAAUACUAAUAGAAAAAUACAGAGAUGAAACUGAAAAAAAUACGUUAUAUGGAUUUUCCUUAACAUUCAGCUGAAUCAUUUCUGUCGGAGAAGACGUUAAUUAAUGGGCCAAUAAAUUAUCAUUUGCUUUGUUUGCAGCAGCCGAAAGAUAGCGGACAAGAACCCACCAACAGUGAUCUCCGAAAAAAAAAAGUGGAAUUUCGCGGACCACAAAAAACACCUGUCACUUUAAAUUUAACAUGUCGUUGCUGGAAAUGGAUUCUGUUGUACUAACACACCAGCAAGCUUUGCAUCGCGGAGCACAGUCCUAAAUGGAUGAGGAUUACUGACCACCUCUCGAAAGCUACAUUGUCGCUGCGUGCUAAACUCGACCUUUUCCAUGGAUCCGUGGGCAUCAGUUUCCUUGUGCUAAUGACGUGGACUUAGACAUUGUUUUGAACCAUCCCUGCAAAAUGUCACAGAAGAGUAUGCUCCACAGGAAUGGCAAGCCCUGUCGAAGGAGAUGGGAAUAGGCCAGCACAUCAGAUGUUUCACAUUUUGUGACUUUCGGUUAAUAGUAUACCAGGCUUGUUCUCAAUGGUGUCUCCUAUAGCAACGAUGACAGAUGUAAUAAAAAGAACAUUUAAAAAAUGACUGAUGUACAUGACCUCGGAGACAUAUUUGUUCUAAAUCUUAGUUUAGGUGUCUGUUAUUACUGACUAUAAACAGUCAAUUAACAUGUUAUUAAUGAUAUUAAAGAUGGUUAUUAACACCCUAAUCUUAAUUCUAAUUCUAAUUGUUACUAAACUCCCAUUAAUCUAUAAAAGUGUUUGGUUAUUAUCACAUCACUGUGUUAAGCUAUUAAAUCUUUCUUAAUGUAUUUCAGUAUUAAAAUGUUGAGAAAUACCUUCAGUUCAUCACUUAAGGGAACAGCAGACCUGACUUGUCAAUUCUCCCUUUGAAACAUGAGAUGUUCUAGAAUUUUGCAUCAAACUCAUUGUUUUACUAAUUCUUGUUGGCUGAGUGUUCCCAUAUCCCGUAAUGUACGUCUGUGAAAUACUGUUUAAUAUUUUGAUAAAAAUGGUAAUCUAGCUUAGGGCAAGACAAGCUUCUGCAAAAUGAUUGUUGAGAAAUCACACUGCAAUACACUUUACCAUUAAUGUGCAGAAAUUCUCUGCUGUUCAUUUGUUUUGUUUUUUUUGUUCGAUUGUCAAGAUUUUAAUAGCAGUUGAUAGCACCAGGUAGGCUGGAAAGUCAAGGUCACAAUGAAGAAAAAGAGCCAUGUUUUGACCAGUUUUCAAUCCAAAAUCCUGUUAAAGCAGUCAAUAUUUAACAUGGACCUACAAGGCCAACAUUUGUAGUUGUACUGACGUGAAUGUCCAUUUUAAUAAUAGACUUUUGUAAGUUAACGCACAAUAAGGUUAAUGUGUAGAACUUCAUUGUGAGGGGAAAUAGAUAUGUUGUUUACUCAUAUGGAAGUUUUACAAGUGGUUUUGUAAGAAGCACAUGUUUCCUUGUUUGCAUAACAACUGUAGUCCAUUAUGUUAAAAAGCUGAAGUGAAAUACAGAGCAUUACUCUACUACCCUUUAACAUGACUGCUCUGCUUCAAGUUUAACUAAUGACCAAACCUCAAACAAAGCACAGUUCUGUUGAUAUUGUAAUUGUGUUGUAUUGAUAAGUCUUAUUUUUAUUAAAUGGAGAAAGACAUGAUUGUCACAUGAGUGAAACCAUUAUAUGUACAGAGCACAUUCACAGGCGACAUGCCUGCUUUUUUAUUAAAUUGCAGAUUUUGUAAUGA